GCGCCCAUAGCUCAAUUGGAUAGAGCACCGGCCUUCUAAGCCGGGGGUUGUAGGUUCGAUUCCUACUGGGCGCG
rnacentral:tRNA from 1 species